rnacentral:misc_RNA from 1 species
AUUAUGGUCAUCAAAUGGGAAGCAAGCUGCCUUCCCCUCAAACCUCGACGCCUCAUACAAUCCCUCAGAACAAAGGGUGUACACUUUGUAUUUUCCCUCAAAGAAUCCAAAAAGCCCAGAGAUUAAAUCACCAGUAGGGAACCCAAUAGCAACUAUCUUUUCGCUGAUAUAAGCCAUAUCCAAAUCAAACCCUCCCUCCUGGUAUCUAUGUUUAUUUUGAGAUACAACAUGAUGUGCCUUGACUUGCAUAGCCUUCACAGCACUUCGA